UACGGAGGGUGCGAGCGUUGUCCGGAAUCACUGGGCGUAAAGGGCGCGUAGGCGGCCUGAUAAGUAGGGGGUGAAAUCCUGCGGCUUAACCGCAGGGCUGCCUUCUAAACUGUCAGGCUCGAGCACAGUAGAGGCAGGUGGAAUUCCCGGUGUAGCGGUGAAAUGCGUAGAGAUCCGGAGGAACCCCAGAGGCGGAAGGCGGCGCCCUGGCUCGCAACUGACGCUCAGACACGACAGCAUGGGGAGCGAACGGG
rnacentral:rRNA from 1 species